UUUUGCUGUCAGACUUUAGAAAAUUGAGCCUUCUCUUCUCCUGUUCUGUUGGUUUUGCUCGCUUUCCAGCUUAUUGUUCUUCUCAGCUUCUUCUCGCUCUCUCUGUCUCUGGUUCCUGCCGAGAAGAAAAAUGGCGUUUGGAGCCAGGAACGAGCAGGAAGUCAGAGGGAUCGUGAAGCCUCGCACCGACAAAAGAGACUACCGAAGAAUCGUUCUUCACAACGCUCUCGAGGUCCUCCUCAUCAGCUAUCCAGAAACUGAUAAGGUUCUUUUAGUGAUCCAGAAGGUCUUGAAGGCCUCGCGCAUUUUCUUGGUCUAUGCAGCUGCUACUGUCUUUCUUGUACCAUUUUUGGAGAGGAAAGGAAAUUUCCUGAGAUUGCCGCCUAUUUGAUAGAUUGAGGAAAAUCACAAGGAAAUACUAAAAGGAGGAGAAAAAGAUUUAGCUUUUCAGAGGAAUAGGAUGUGGAAGAGUAAAUAAACAGAACCCAGUGAGUUUGGGAGAACGAAGUAGCUUGCUCCAAGCCUGUACAUCUACUUUUGAGAAGAUGGUUUGGACUUAUAAACCCAAGAUGUAGACAGAAGCUUGAACUAGCUGCAUUAACAAGAAGCAUUAAUGAGAUGUGAUGUUCAUUUCUAUCAGCCAGCUCAUUUUGUAGCUAGCACUGAUUUUAGGCACUGGAGAAAGAAGAUAGUGAAGAUGGAAAUAAUUCUGAUUCUAGCAGUUAUUCUAAUGAUAAUGAGGACGAAAGGCCGGAGAGCAAAUCUAUCACCACCUCUUGGCCUCAAAUUUACAGGUGGUAUCAUCUUAUCGCACAUAUCUAUAUUUGUUUCUUUCUACAUCUAGCUAUGGUGUUCUCUACGUUUGUUCUGUUCUUGUUCUGCAGAUUCUGUAUUUAGCAGUGAAGCACUUGGUUUCUUGAAAGCUGUUAUAUUUAUAUGGUACCGGAUGUUUAGCUUUACCUAUUCAUUUUUGGCUAGGAGAGAUAUUUAGAAAUGGGAUUGAAAUGCUUUCAUCAUUCAUAUUUUGGAGCUUCUUCAAGUAUUUUCAUUCUGUUUCGGCCAUGAAUAUCAAUAGUUUAUGAGUUUGAAUGGAUCCAGUAACAUCAGUAAAGGAUAGCUAUGGGCUUAAGGUAGGCUAUGUAAUGUUAUCAAAAGGCCAGAGCAUUUUAUGUCUUCCCUGGAUCCUUCUUCAGCUUAGCGGAACUUGGUAGGAUGCACUUAUAUUGCUGACUACUGCCUCUAUUGAAAAGAUUUUCCUUCGUCAUGAGGGACUGGUGGUUAAUCCCUGUGAACCAUCUUUGGAAGUGAAGGAGUUGUAUUUGUCGUUACUACAUUUAUCAAUGGUAGAAACCAUAUUUUGGAUAUUACCUUUCAUCGAACCGCUGAUUCUGGAAGAGAAGUUUCCAAACCACAUCCAGAGUAUUCAUUUCAUGGGCUUUAGACUGAACCAAUUUCCAUAACUUUGGUGUGUCAUAACAUCUGGCCAGAACUAUACCAACUUUUAGACCGUCUGCUAGAUAUUUUGAUUGAAAUAAGUGCCAGAGAUCCACUCUCCUCCUCCAAUCAUGUACCAGCGUUUCUUAUUUGCAUCAGUUUUCAGUUGUUUUUGGAGAGGAUAAAACAUACUGGUUUGAUCAAGAGUACAACCAUCACUCCCUCAUGUGCAAUUCUACCAGCUGCAAAUAAUUUGGCUCUUAGCUUUUAAGAUUUAGAAUCAAUUCCAAUGGUUCUUUGUUAAUUUGUUUUAAACUUGCACAACUGGAUUAUAUAUUUGAGAAAUGGUUACAUUAGUCAUCUCACUUGGACUGUGUUCAAACUCUGGUUGAUAAUGCUUGGUAUCUCAUAUCCUUGUAUCAGGCAGUCCAUCGAUUUAUACAGCAGUGUACCAUCUCCAAGUCUUAACUUCCUGGGGACGCCUACGUUAUCACGUUUAGGCAGCUCAUUUAUCUCUUCUUCAUUAACAAGAAGAUACACUCCUGAAGUACUCCCUUCUUCGCAAAAACCUCUAUUACCACCAGUAGCAAAUGCACGGCAGCCACCAGAAAGGCGUAGUUCACUUUAAAUUUACACAAGCAGUAUGAGCCUGUCUAUGGUGAAUCAGAUGGCUUCUAUUAGCGAUGUCUUUUUCAUGUCUGCAAGAUAACAGUAUCUUUGCAUGGCUGAUUAACUGUUUGAAAGCUGAAUUUUGGUUUUCAGAAGGCCACAGCCAAAAGCUAAUUUGUGUAUGUCGAUAGCAUGCUUGGUUUUCAUCUAAAGUUGAUAUGACUGGUGCACAUACCUAAUCUUAUGGUGCAAGAAAUGAUGAUUUUUAUGCCUCGUUUAUGAGCUUUUCCUGUCUUACCUUAUUUACCCAGUUGCUUCAUUUAUGAAAGCUUCUUUCCUUCAUUUAAGUUAUAUCUUGGACAUCAGAUGCCAAGAUAUCUGCUCUGUCUGUUUGAGAUUAGGCAGUUGCAUAUAGUUCCUGUCAAAUGCUUUUGGCUUGAGCUUAGGAUUUUCUUGGUGUUGAUAUUGGUCAACGAUCCACUUUAGAUGCCUCUUCCGUCUGUUGUUGCAGACUUAUUAGUCACAGCUCAUUUGAAGCUCAUUUAUCCCUCGGAGUUAAUUUUGCAAUGGGAGUGUCUGACCAUUGAAUUGUGCAGGUUGCUGAGGCUCUGCCCCUUGGUGAUGCAUCUGUGGAUGCUGUAGUGGCCACACUUGUCCUAUGUUCUGUCAAAGAUGUUGACUUGGCGCUGCAAGAGAUUAUGAGGGUGCUAAAGCCAGGUGGGCUCUGUGUGUUUGUGGAACACGUAGCAGCAGAAGAUGGAACAAUUCGGAGAUUUUUCCAAGGGAUUCUUGAUCCUUUGCAGCAGUUUGUUGCUGAUGGCUGUCACUUCACUAGAAAAACUGGAGAAGUUAUUGCUAAAGCAGUCUUCUCAUCUGUUGAACUUCAGCGGGCAUUUGUGUCUUCUGCCUCAAUAGCAAAUCCUCAGGUUUAUGGGAUAGCUCGCAAGUAGCCUAGAUUAAUGUUAUGCCACAUAAAAUAUUCCUGCUGCAAACCUUGGAAUAAUUAUUUGAAUACUGAGUGUGUCUAGUGUAUUUGGAUAGAGUAUCAUUUGAAAUAUUAUUUAAAAUAAUUAAUGUAGCACUUUUUGUGA